rnacentral:rRNA from 1 species
CUACGGGCGGCAGCAGCUAAGAAUCUUCCGCAAUGGGCGAAAGCCUGACGGAGCGACGCCGCGUGUGUGAUGAAGGCCGUGAGGUUGUAAAACACUUUUGUUACUGAAGAAUAAGUGCGGUAGGGAAUGACCGCAUGAUGACGUUAGGUAACGAAUAAGCCCCGGCUAAUUACGUGCCAGCAGCCGCGGUAACACGUAAGGGGCAAGCGUUGUUCGGAUUUAUUGGGCGUAAAGGGCGCGUAGGCGGUUUGCCAAGCCUGAUGUGAAAGACCCCGGCUUAACCGGGGGGACGCGUUGGGAACUGGCAGGCUAGAGUAUAGGAGGGGUAGUUGGAAUUCCAGGUGUAGGGGUGAAAUCUGUAGAUAUCUGGAAGAACACCGGUGGCGAAGGCGAACUACUGGCCAUAUACUGACGCUGAGGCGCGAAAGUGUGGGGAGCGAACAGGAUUAGAUACCCCAGUAGUC